CGGGGAUUGGACAGCUGGGGUUGCUUCUGAAGUCUGAGGAGACUGCAUUUGUACCUGAGGAAGGCGGGAGAGCGAAACGCUUGCAGGUUUUUCUCCCUAGGCUCGGCAAGGUCUGCCUUGAAAGGAAGCUGGAGUCAGGAGCCAGAACUGAGAAUGGAACUCGGGUACUCCACUGUGGGACAAGGGCAUCUUAACUGCUGAGGUUCAUUCCUUAACCAGUCAUGGCAGGCAAAUGGGACUACUACGAUUGUCUUUGUUUGAUGUCACAGAUGAUUCAUCCUCAGCGUCUUCUGCUACUUGUCUACUUUGCUGCCUCCACACCAAGGAUAGUCUCUACCAGAUGUGGCACUAAUGGGAUGACUGAUCCUGUACUGUGAACUUCCAAACUAGAAUAAUAAUUGAAAACUACAGUUUGCAUGCAAGGAAUAUUCACUGCUACCAAUAUCCUUCAAACAACACCAAAGCAAAGAAAAACAAAACAGAAACAAAGUCCCACAAGAUUUAACCAAGAAACUACUACCAAUGCCAUCACCACUAGCAGCAACAAAAUGUC